GACGGAGCACGCCGCGUGAGUGAUGAAGGUUUUCGGAUCGUAAAACUCUGUUGUUAGGGAAGAACAAGUACCGUUCGAAUAGGGCGGUACCUUGACGGUACCUAACCAGAAAGCCACGGCUAACUACGUGCCAGCAGCCGCGGUAAUACGUAGGUGGCAAGCGUUGUCCGGAAUUAUUGGGCGUAAAGCGCGCGCAGGCGGUUUCUUAAGUCUGAUGUGAAAGCCCCCGGCUCAACCGGGGAGGGUCAUUGGAAACUGGGGAACUUGAGUGCAGAAGAGGAGAGUGGAAUUCCACGUGUAGCGGUGAAAUGCGUAGAGAUGUGGAGGAACACCAGUGGCGAAGGCGACUCUCUGGUCUGUAACUGACGCUGAGGCGCGAAAGCGUGGGGAGCGAACAGGAUUAGAUACCCUGGUAGUCCACGCCGUAAACGAUGAGUGCUAAGUGUUAGAGGGUUUCCGCCCUUUAGUGCUGCAGCAAACGCAUUAAGCACUCCGCCUGGGGAGUACGGUCGCAAGACUGA
rnacentral:rRNA from 1 species